GCAAGUCGAGCGAGAAGGUUAUGAUUGAUUCUUCGGAUGAUUGAAUAACUGGAAAGCGGCGGACGGGUGAGUAACGCGUGGGUAACCUGCCCUAUACAGGAGGAUAGCAGUUGGAAACGACUAUUAAUACUCCAUAAGCAAAUAGUACCGCAUGGUGCAGUUUAAAAGAUUUAUCGGUAUAGGAUGGACCCGCGUCUGAUUAGCUAGUUGGUAAGGUAAUGGCUUACCAAGGCGACGAUCAGUAGCCGACCUGAGAGGAUGAUC
rnacentral:rRNA from 1 species